AGUACCAUAUUUCCAUGUCUACUAGCUCCGUCAAUAUUAUUUUUUUUAAAAAAAAAGGUUAAACUAAAAGGCCAAGAAAGAGGAAUUAAGAUUAUCUCCAACUUUUGUAACUACAACGGAGUUGAGUUUAUGAUGAAUCCUAUCCUCUUUACGAUUCCUCUAAAUGUCCAUUCAUAAAUCACGGUUUCCAUUGUGUAGCUAAUGGUCGACCUGACAAAUAUUAUCUCAAGUAUAGAUGGAGCCCAAGCGGAUGCGAUGCACCUAAGUUUGAUGCCUUGGACUUCUUGAGGAGAUACACGGGUAAAAAGAUCAUGUCUGUUGGUGACUCGAUCAGUAAUAACCGGUGGCAAUCUUUGAUUUGUAUGAUUCAUGCAGCUAUCCCGAAUGCAAAAUAUACUGGGCACUUAGUGCGAAAUACGGUCUCCCGCAAUUUUACGGUUAGAUUUUCUAUUCAUUUAAGCUCAAUGUUGGGUUGAGUCUAAACCUAAUAAAUUAAUAUGACCGUGUUCUAGAAAACUAGGUAGACGGCGUAGGCCUAUUUCUGGUGAACUUCAGUAAAUUAUGAUAAGAAACUAAGACAUUUUGGUUGAA